GCUAAAAGCGGCGUAAAACUAAACUCAGUCAGUCAAUCAUAAUUUUUCAACCCACUCAAGCUAACUGUUAUGUUAAAAAUCUAUAAACCAUAAAACUGUAGCCCCAAAAUCCCUGAGGUCAUGACAAUGGCUUCGAAUGUGGUGUUGUUGCCUCCUCUGUGGCUUUGAUGUUGUCGUCUCCUCUUCAGUGUGC